rnacentral:lncRNA from 1 species
CGUUCACUUAGCUAUCAUGCAGCACCGCAGUUGGAAAGCCACGUCGUCAGUAUCUAUAACGUCAUACAAGACCAAAAUGAAGAUUGUGACGAAAUCAGACAUGAUGCUGGUUAUAUUGAUGCUAUCAGUACUGGUCAAGACAUAACGGAUUCUCGAAGCAGUUCUGAACAAUAUGAAGAGGUUCAUUAACUCAUCGUGUGUAUUCAUUGAUUCCUUGAAUGGAAUGGAGUUUUUUUUUUUUUUAUGUAGGAGAGAAUAUUAUAUUUUGGGGAUUAAAUUUAGUUCGAUUAGGAUACCGUUAUUGUUACGU